rnacentral:rRNA from 1 species
UACGUAGGGGGGCGAGCGUUGUCCGGAUUUACUGGGCGUAAAGCGCGUGUAGGCGGCUUCUUAAGUCGGGUGUGAAAGCCCGGGGCUCAACCCCGGGAUGCCGCCCGAGACUGGGAGGCUUGAGUUCGGGAGAGGGAAGCGGAAUUCCGGGUGUAGCGGUGAAAUGCGUAGAUAUCCGGAGGAACACCGGUGGCGAAGGCGGCUUCCUGGACCGACACUGACGCUGAGGCGCGAAAGCUAGGGGAGCAAACGGG